AAUUACCGAUAUUCGCGAUAUCGAUAUCAAUUACCGAAUAUGUCCGAGUCUACUCCAAUACUCAAUGAAGACAAGUCCCGUCGGCCAAAGAUUCGAAACUCACGUUCGGUGAGUAUUAUAAUUUUUGGAGUCGAAUCGCUAUCUCACGGCUUGGUGAGUACCACUGUUAUAGAGCGAUCAUGCGCGAUCCCCUAGCCUCUGCUCUGCCCCCGCAACCUGCGUUCUCCGCCUAGCCUUCUGUUAGUAGUUGCGUAACCCUGCAGAGUCAUGCGAUAGGAUAGCACAGUGCCGUGGUGCGGCGCGACCAACCAACACGAAUAAACCAGAACGAGAAGGAAUGAGCGGAAAGGAAAGGAAAUGAGCGAGAUGGACGAAGACGAUGGGACAAAGAGAAAGCAAGAAAGAGACGUUCGAAAAAGGUUAAGAAAGGAAGGAAGAGAUGGCUCAUCUUCGGGGGGUGGCAGUGGGAAUACGGGGACGUAGAGAUCGAGAGAGAGAGAGAGAGAGAGACGAAGAGAGUGUAGAGAAGAGGCGGUUCAGCCUUGAAACACCGCCGCACCGCGAGCGGCGGCUUCGUCACAAGUUCCGUGCUUCAACUCGCAUCGAAUCGUUUUUACCCAUCUUCCCACGUCAAAGACAUACGCUGAUGUUCACCCCAAUUCACAUUCACCGUUACUGUUUAAUGCUCUUCUUAUCAAGAUUUUCCUCUUCCAUCGAUCGAUGUUUCUCCUUCAUUUCGCAUACAUGUAUGCGCACGCUACGUAUUGCCGAAAAGAUGGCAUGCGAUCUCUUUUUGUAAGAAGGAAUGGGGGAUCUUGGUUUGCUCCGCCUGACCCCACUCUUAAUGUCUAGUUUAAUCGCUACCCAUAGGUCCUGGAGGCUAUGCCACUGCUUUGAAGUCGUCGUCACCGCAUCGCUCUGUUCCAGUCGCACUUAACCGGUUCGUUCGCCUUCUUCGUCGAGCGAUUCGACCAAUUACGAAAAAUCCUUGCGAUGCGAAGUAGGGAUAUCGGGUAGUGGGGCAUAGAUCCCUACAAGUUUUAGCCAUGCCAUCUUCUCGCGAACGAAUGGAACGUAUCUUUCGCUACUAACUUAACACGAAUCCAUUUUUACAACGAAUUCUUUAUUAAACAAAGUAACAAGAAACUAACAAUAAGAAUGAGAUGCAAAGAAAAAAAGUUUCCUUGCAAUGAUAGCUAGAAUACAUUGGCGUACCUGAAAUAAUCUGCAAUUUAUUGUUCGCGGCAGUUUUAUCUGGUCCGCGGUAUCAACGAUUAAUAGCCAGCUGGUUAAUUUAUCGCCGAGGGUUCGUAUCAAAUAGAUGCAUAUAUCAUCGACGCGAUAGAAACGUAUUGGUUCGGAAUCUCAUGGGUCCCUAUGAAUUUUCAUCAUCCCUCUUCUCCAUACCCGACCAACCAUUAUACCUUCGUGGGGCGGAGAGUAAUCCGCAGUCACAGCAACGUUUUCUCGUAUAGCAUCGUAUGCAAAAUUCUAAGAAGCGCGGUGAUAGAUAAAAAUAGAUAAAAGCGACGGUAUCGCUGGCUCGCUGGCUUUCCGGGAACGGUUUCGUCAAUCAGGGUCACCGAUGCAUCGGUGCACCGGUGCGGCUCGUUAUGUCUAAAAGCAAUUUCAUGUAACUCGAAGGAAACGAAACGAUCCUCGUACGAGUUCAGGAAGAAGCACGUUUCGGUCUCGAUAGAAGCGUUAACGUGAACAAUGCAGUCAUUUCGGUAAUAAUAAUGAAGCUGUUAAGCGGGUAGUUGUUUAUUCAGAAAUGCGGUCAGGGUGCGUGGUGAGAAACAAACGGUACGCGCGCACGUAAACGAAAAAAAGGACAGCAUGCAAAGAUGCGAAAUGCAAUCAAGGAUUGUCCGUAAGAAAAACUUUCGAAGUCUAAUAAGCACAGCGCGGAUAAGAUGGGUAGAAGCGCAAAGUGCAAGAAACUAGAGCAGAGGGAAAUUGGAGAAAAUGCAUCUAGAGGGAGGAGAGAUCGUGUGGAGAGAAAAAUUGAGAAAGUGGAAUGAAACGGAGUGGCGAAGGAAGGGAAGGGGGUAGUAUAAAAAAGGCGAAGAGAAGAAAUGGAAAGAAACGUGUGCCGCGAAGAGGGUAGCUGCUUUCGACUUCGUAGUAGGCCUCGAUCGAUGUUGUUACCAUGGCUACGGGGGCAGUACUGCGGUGCUCUACUACUGAUUAUUUAUGUCAAGGAUCCUCCCCCUCCCUGCUUCGAAGCUCGAAACGCGUGCUCUAAACGCGAAUCACCCCGAUGCAAAUAACAAUGAGCAUUUCGUUCUCCCUCUAACGAACAACUAGUACGAAGGUUCGUGUCUCUUUCAGAUAUUAUUCUAAUUUUAUCAGAGAUACUUAAUUUGAUAUCUCCCAUUAUGUUAGAUUCUAAAUAAUAUAUCUAAUUUAACCCUCUUCAUUUAAACGUAAAGCUGAAAUUAAUAAGUGUCCCAUGACUUAUUGACUUUAAAUAGCAUUAUGAAGCAAUUGAAAAGGCCUUUGGCUCACGGUUAAACUCGAUGCGAUAUCAUCGUAAAGAUAGAAGCAUUUAUUCUGAGGGGGGCCACUAGCGCAAUCACGUGACAAGCAUAACGAUGAGAUCAAACGCGAACCCUCGUACUUUUUUCCGCAAUGGUAGCAGAAACCGACGAGAAUCUAUGCAGAUGGGUUAGUCUUUCGUGAAAUUUAGAUCGGUAAGCAGAACGGAGUACUUUUAACCCAGCAGUCGACUACGGUAAACCAAUAAAAAUUAAUCGCAUGAUUUAAGUGACGGAACGAGUGCAUUUCAUGUCAUCUGAGAGAGGGUUUUUUUUUUCUUUUUAAUUGCACAGCAACCAUAGCAACGUAGUCAUUGACAUAACUAGGUAAAGACCAGGGUGAAAGGAUGAAAAUAAAUAAAAAACAUUGGGUCAAAAUCCAUGGAUUACCUACAUACGUAUAUAGCAAGCCAUUAAACUUUUUUAAUACAUCUUUCAUUCUUUUAUAAGAAAAGGUACGACACAUAAAUACGUCCAAACAAAUACCGUAACCUAUAAAGUAAGUUAUAUUUAUACGGUCGUAAUUUAAGUUCCUCGAUGGUAAAGGAUACAUACAUAUGUACAUGAAAGUAUCGUAAAAAAAUAAGUAAAGAUGAUGGUAUUACGGUUAGUACAUCGGUAAAUCGUAAAACGACGCGGUUAAUGAUAACUGAAGUUGGAGCUUUGGUACUGCUUUCAAAGGGAAAGAGCGGAGAGGAUGGAAAAGAACACGCAGAGGAAAGUAAGUACUCCCGUUGGGAAGGUUGCUUUCGACCCAAUUUCACCCUCCCAUAGUGGUGGUACCGUCAUGGAGCAAUCGAUACUGCGCCUAAGGGACGUGCCAGCGUGCUCUAUCAGUACGACGUUUAUCGCUCUAGCUUGCGCAGAAGCGACGAUUACAGUUAAAACAAAAUAACAUUUUUCGUUCUUUAUCUUUCUAAUGACAUAUUAACCUAAUUUUUAUCCAUAAUUUGAAGCUCUUUAAUUAUCCACACGCAAGCCAUUUUGCUUCGAGGUAUGGUUUUCAAAACGAAAGGACUAUGGACGUUCGGCGGGUGACGAGGUAGAUUAAAAUUAAUAUUAAUAUUAUAGCAACACUUUCGAUGUUUAAAUUUAUUUAUUUAUUUAUUCGCGAAUCAUAGUUCAUUGUUGGUUAACACAAACACAGUAAAACAAUAAUAUCUUGAUUCAUGAUUAUUUGAAUGUGUCACGUUGUUUUCUGUAAACGAGUAUUUUUGAUUAUUAUGGUUGGGAAUUUGGUGCACAAUCAUUCCAAAAGGUAACUUCUCUCUAUGUAGACGUCAUGCAAUAUUUAUAGCCGAUGAUUAUUACCGUUCAUUUGAAUGCGAAAUAACUUUUUUUCCUCAGUUACGAUUCAGUCAUUGAGAUACCGAAUCACAACACAUGCAAGUAGAAAUUUUUAUUCAGUUUCUUUGUAAAGAGAAAAAAAAUUGAAGGUCUUCGACAAAAUAAGUGAAAAUCUGUCAAUUUAAACUUUGGUAAAAUUUAUUCAGAAGUUGUUUUUAACUUUAUUCGAUUAGGCAAAGAAAGUGAGAAGUUCAUUGCAAUUUUUACAAUCUUGUUAAUAAAAUUCAUUCUUUGUUUUCUUGCCGACGGUACCUUCGAAAUAAACGAAAAGUUGUUUAACAGCUAUGCUUACAUCUGCAUUUCCGAUGUAAAUUGUGCGUAAUGGGACAAUUAUUCGCUAUCGAAAACGUGUAAUGAUAAUACACAGAGUGGGCGGAUGAGGUCAUACAUAUAAUAAAUUUAACCACCAGACAUUACAAACUACCGUUUUCCUACAUGCCUAAAAUUUCUCGUCUCCCCAACGAAAAAUACACCUUUCCCUCUGCAACUGUGUAACUUACAAAGAAUCAUUAAAAAGAAGAGAAAAAAAAGAACAGAAAUCUUAAAGCAAAAGAUGAUGUAGGAAAUUCAAGUAACUAUUUGUAGAAGCAAUUUACCUGUAUUUUCUCUAUGUUGAACUAACAUAUCAAAAAGACUAAUUUCACAAAGAGAAAUUAGACUUAACAGAUCACAUAUUCAUUAAAACAUCCUUACAACACAACACAACGUCCACAUUCUUUCAAAUGAUAAUUCUUAAACCUUUCUUUUUUUUAUUCUAUAGACGUACAUUAAAGUUUGCUACAGUCAACGUGUUAUUUUUUUUUUUCUUUUCGCUACCUCACACAUUUUUCAAUCUUAAUUUACGCGCUAUCAAACUAAAGUAUUAACUAACGAUUAUCAUUUUUUGUUAAUAUUUACACGUGUAUCAGUAAGUCGAUCAUAUAUAAUACAACUUUCGCAUUCUUGCUGUCAGCGGCCUCUAGCAAUAAUAUUUUGAUGAACAUAGCCUACUCUCGAACAUUGUCGCUUAUAUUCUUUCUUUCACCCCCAAUUUAACCUUUUUUCGUGAGUCAAUCGUAUUCGAAAUAAAUCACGAAUAGCGUGUACAAUUUCAUAAAGAAUGACCAACCAGAAAAUGCGUCAACUACUCGACACUGUUAACGAGUCAUACGUCGAAAGUUUUCGAAAUUGGAGAAAAUCGCGACCAAGAACAGUGUCAUAUAUAUACACACACACACCGUCCGAGUUACUGGAACAAAUUUCGCCAUUAUAUAUACGGCUGGCUCGUGUAUCCAAUACAAAAAGGAAAAACAA